rnacentral:misc_RNA from 1 species
AAGAGGCGUUGCCCUUCGGGUAUACCUCCCACCCUUUGUUUAGUAUACCUUGUUGCUUGGCGGGCCCGUCCUCGGACCACCGGCUUCUGCUGGUCAGUGCCCGCCAGAGGACCUAAAACUCUGUUUGUUAAUAUUGUCUGAGUACUAUAUAAUAGUUA